GGUUACUCAUCUGGCCAAAGUUGAAGCACGUUCAAAACCAAAUCCAGGAAGAUGUGAAGAAAAUAAUGUCUCAGAGUUUACACAUGCCUACAAUUGGUUCAAGACAGUCGACUAGUAGACAUAAUGAUCAUCACUUGACCAAACCAAGUUUUCUUGCUUCCUGUAGCAUAUUUGGUCCAAAGGGAAUUGGAGUUGUUACUCGAAUAGCUGCCAUGACAACGGAAUCAGUGU
rnacentral:misc_RNA from 1 species